GGUCGCUUGGUGUAGUGGUCAAACACCUGGCUGAGGUGACCUGCCUGCACAAACCUCGUUGGUUCGAAUCCAGCAACGAUCA